GCAGCGAAUCAUGGCGUGAUGAAGAUGUCUCUACACACGAGGAGUAUUACAUUCGUAGCACUUGGCGCCGAAUCGUACAAUCGUAAUCUUUGAUCUCGAUGUAUAUUACAAAAGAAUUGUUUGUGCACGUGUGUCGGGUUAAAGUCGAAUUAUAACCGAUUUAUUACCUUAUUCGGAUAUCGAUCGUAGUUUCUUCGACCACGCUGAGACGGGCGUUAGUCUCUCGCACACAUUUGUUUAAUAAUACGUGUAAACUCGAGCAUAAACUCGAGGAUUAAUCAGUUUUAUGGAAGAGGAAGAGGAAAAGAAGAAGAAGAAGAAGAAGAAGGUGGAAAAUGAAGAUGAGAGCGAAAACGAUGAAGAGGUUAGAGAAAAUGAAAGUCAAAAUGGCGAUAAAGAGGAUAAGGAAAACGGCGGGAAAAAUGAGAGCGACAACGACACGUUCGAGGAUGACUCAGCGUUCGCCUUAGAGGGUAUGGAAUAUACGCAAACAGGAAGGAAGACCAGUAUUUUCAAGUACUAUGCUUUUAAGGAGAAAGAAACAAUGCCGAGUACUACAAAAAAACAACAGGGUCCACUGAUCGGUGUGAUAGACGUUGGUACACGGACAGUAAGAUUUGUGGUUUUCAAUGCGAAGCAUAUAACGGAAGUAGCUUCUCAUCAGAUCGAUAUUGAGCAAUUGAGUCCAAUGGAAGGUUGGCUUGAAGAGGAUCCGAAGGAAAUACUUUUUGCUGUUAAGGCAUGCAUUAAAGAUGUCAUAAAAAGGUUUGAAUCACUCAAUCUCAAGGUGGAAGACAUUAUCACGAUCGGUGUAACAAAUCAGAGAGAAACAACUAUAGCGUGGGAUAGCAUAACCGGUGAACCGUUCUACAAUGCUAUAGUGUGGACUGAUAUUAGAACCGCUUCGACGGUCGAUCAAAUCAUUGCCAAGUUCCCAGACAAAAGUAAAAACCAUCUGAAACCACUUUGCGGUUUACCGGUCAGUCCAUUUUUUUCUGCUUUGAAAAUCCGAUGGUUGAGGGAUAACGUACCGGUUGUUAGAAAAGCAAUGCGAGAUAGACGCUGCAAAGUUGGUACGAUGGACACUUGGAUUAUUUGGAACUUAACCGGUGGCAAAGAUGGCGGACUGUACAUAACGGACGUAACAAAUGCUUCAAGAACGAUGUUGAUGAACAUCGAAACACUUUCGUGGGAUCCCACGUUGUGUAGAUACUUUGAUAUUUCAAUGCAAAUGUUACCCGAAAUUAAAAGCAGCUCGGAAAUUUAUGGUAAAAUCAAAAUCGGCCCUUUAGCGGGUAUUCCCAUAUCGGGCAUACUUGGUAAUCAGCAGUCGGCAUUGGUCGGACAAAAUUGUUUGAAAAAAGGCCAAACUAAGAACACUUACAGAAGUGGAUGUUUCUUACUCUGUAAUACAGGAACUACGAGAGUUCAUUCUUCUCACGGUUUAGUCACUACUGUUGCAUAUCAAUUAGGUCCAAACAGUCCUGCUGUUUAUGCAUUAGAAGGUUCGGUUGCGGUAGCUGGGGCUGCUAUUAGAUGGUUAAGGGACAAUCUGAAACUUAUCAAAGAUGUUCACGAAAGCGAACAUUUAGCACAAAGAGUAUUUAGUACAGGCGAUGUUUAUUUCGUACCUGCUUUCACUGGACUUUAUGCUCCUUAUUGGAGAAAAGAUGCUAGAGGAAUACUUUGUGGUCUCACUGCCUUUACUACGAAGCAACACAUAAUAAGAGCAUGUCUGGAGGCAGUAUGCUUUCAAACGAGAGAUAUUUUAGAAGCGAUGUAUAAAGAUUGUGGUUUUCCAUUAAAAAGAUUAAAUACUGAUGGUAAAAUGUCGACAAAUAAUCUCCUCAUGCAAUUACAAGCAGACCUUUGCGGUAUACCAGUUUUUAGAUCCACUAUACCGGAUAUGACGGCAUUGGGUGUAGCAAUGGCUGCCGGUAACGCGGAAGGUAUAAAUGCAUGGGAAUUUGAAAAUGAAGAGAUUGAAAGAGUUGCGACUGAUACAUUUUUACCCACUACAACACCUGAGGAGAGAGAUGCUAGAUAUAAAAAAUGGAAAAUGGCAGUAGAAAGAAGUUUGGGUUGGGCAGCGGUUAAGAAGUCUGACCAAAUGACAGAUGAAAGAUAUUGCGUGUUAGCCUCAAUACCUGCCAGCUGGUUCUUAAUGUCGAGCUUCAUCCUACUAAGGUUUAGCCAAUAUUUAGAAAAUCGGUGACACAACCAAUACGUCACUGAAGUGAUUCACGAGAUAGAUGGCAGAUAGCCUAAUCAUAAUUUUGAACGACAUUUAGGGAAGAUGACCGAGAGAGUUCGGUUAUCAAUUAUAGAAAAGCAGUCAUAUUGCCGUAUAUUUGUUAAACAAAAGCUGUUAAUAAACGUGGAGAUACGAUUAGUACAGAAAUGGAAAUCCAGAGAAAAAAAAUAAGGGGAAAAAUAGAAAACGAGCAUGAUGAAGUAAUCGCUUCGAUAAAAGCGUAGAUCCUUCGACGUUUUAAGUGAAAUAAAAAUAGAAAAAAUUUACAAAAAAUAAUGAAAAAGUAAGAAAAUUUUCGAAAAAUUCCAAAAGCUUUGAUUCCACGGUCAAUCGUAUACAUACGAGCAAUUAUUAUGUUACAUAUAUGAUUUAAUAGUUAAACGUGCAUCAUAUCGUACUCUUGCCAAUAUAAAAAAAAAAAAAGUGAAAAAAAUUCAAUGCAAAUUUAUCUGCCGAUCAUUCGUUUGUGAUUAACAUUUCGACCAAGCAAACAAACCAUCAUUUAGCGUUAUUUUUAACAAGAUUUACUAUUAGUUACAAUGUCCGAUAAAUUCAUUUACAUUUGUAGUAGAGUUCAUAAUGUGUUGAAUGUAUUUCAAAACCGAUUAUUUUCUACGUAUAUGAUGAUUUUACGAUUAUCAAAUGAUCGAAAUAAAAUGUCUUGUUUGCAGAAAUCGAACGAAAUAUAAUAAAAUAUGUAUAG
rnacentral:misc_RNA from 1 species